CUACGGGAGGCAGCAGUGGGGAAUAUUGGACAAUGGGCGAAAGCCUGAUCCAGCAAUGCCGCGUGAGUGAUGAAGGCCUUAGGGUUGUAAAGCUCUUUUACCCGGGAUGAUAAUGACAGUACCGGGAGAAUAAGCCCCGGCUAACUCCGUGCCAGCAGCCGCGGUAAUACGGAGGGGGCUAGCGUUGUUCGGAAUUACUGGGCGUAAAGCGCACGUAGGCGGCUUUGUAAGUUAGAGGUGAAAGCCCGGGGCUCAACUCCGGAAUUGCCUUUAAGACUGCAUCGCUAGAAUUGUGGAGAGGUAAGUGGAAUUCCGAGUGUAGAGGUGAAAUUCGUAGAUAUUCGGAAGAACACCAGUGGCGAAGGCGACUUACUGGACACAUAUUGACGCUGAGGUGCGAAAGCGUGGGGAGCAAACAGGAUUAGAUACCCCGGU
rnacentral:rRNA from 1 species